AAAAGUGCUUUUCACUUGAUUUAUUUUAACCAAAGUUCCAUGUACUAAAGAGUGAACCAAAUAGACAUUACAGAAGUUAUCAAUAAUCACUCUUCAGAAAACUGGGAUUUGUAGAUAUCAUACCCAGUGGUUGCUGCAGUUUUUGGGAAAAACCUGAUGGCGAAAGAGUAUGGUACUGGAGGAACAAGGUAUUCAUCAUGAACACAAGGGGACCAGCUAUCGUCUCCGCCCAAACCCAUGUAUUUGUGGUCAAGAUGCACCUCGAUGUUUUCACUUUUUCUAAGAUCCUCAUUGUGUGUAGUUCUAUCGAGUUCGGAGGUGCUGUAGUAGCUUGCAUUCAUUUGCAUGGGUGGAGAUCCUCCAUGCGUGGAAGCAUAAAGUCCCAGUCCAUCUUUAUUUUCAAAUGUCACCCAUCUAACAUCUGCUCUGCCUGAGCACUCCCCGGGGACAACAUAUGGCACAUGCAUUUCAGCUACGGAUAACUCAUAAAUGCUUAAAUGAGCAGCAGAUUUCCGGUCGGGAUAACAUUCAAAUGGUCCCCUUCCAUACCAUUUAACCUGGUCUACAGUUGAAUCCAAUUGAAAUUCAACACCAACCCGUGGCAAAGGAGGAAGAUCAGGACACGGAUUUACAUUGCACUCUAGCACAACAUCUCCUGAACCAUAUAUCAAAAGUGUCAUGACAACCUUAAAGAGAAUAUUAGAAGUUUCCGCAUUUGAGGGAGUUUUCUCCUCUGGUUUUGCCAUGCCAUGAUAAGUAGCUGAUAUUUUCACUUCGUGACUGUUGGUACUUUCCACAGAGCAGCUUUCAUUCACAAAGAUCACCUUGUCAAGAUUAGCAGCCUUCCACCUAGACAAGUAACUCAGUGCCCCUCCCCCUUUGUCAUUAUCUGUUGGUGCUCUCCAAAAGCAUGGAUAGAUGCCUUUAUUCAUUAUUGAAACUCCAUUAACCUUCCAUCCCUCUAUACCACCAGUUUGUUUGUUAAAUUUCAGCUCCCACCAGUCCUUCUGGCCAACCUUUAUUAUGUCAUCAACAACUUCACAAAGUAAAGUGGCAUCGGUGCUUUUAAUGAUAUGAGGGACAACAUUCCGUCUGCUAGGCAACAGAACUUGUGUGGACGAAAUGAGGUGACCAGAAUUAGCCCAUCGAGUAGAGUUCAAAAGCUUUGCUGUAAUUGUUAAAUAAAUUUCUGCUGCACUAGAUAAAGUCCAUGCAGAAAACCAUGGGCCAGAUUCCCAUUUUGUUUCAUGGCUUCUCUGGGGUUCUAUGACAAGUAGAGGGAGGAUCCCAGACCCAAGUUCACACCCAUCGCCAUGAAGUACCCAGUUAAACUCCAAAGCUUGGGUAGUAUCAAAGAAAUGCAUGUUUGUUAUCUUAAUAAUUCCUUCGUUAAAUGAGACCUUGAUUGGCUGGUAAAGAAACUUAACCUCAUGCAAUGCAGGAUGAGGACUUCGGUCAGGAAAUAUGACACCAUUUAGGCAGAAGUUCAAAUCAUUAGGAGUGUCCCCAAAAUCACCUCCAUAUGCCCAGCGCAUUUUCCCACAUACUUCCUUCAAUAAUCCCUGAUCAGCCCAAUCCCAUAUAAAGCCUCCUUGCAGACCAAAGAUACUAUCUAUUGCUUCCCAAUAUUUAUGGAGAUUCCCGUUGCUGUUUCCCAUGGCAUGUGAAUAUUCGCACAAUAUCACAGGCCUCUGUUCCGUUGGAUCUUUUGCUAUUUCUACUAUUUGGGACACACGUGCGUACAUGGGACAUACAAUAUCUGUUGAAGACGUUCUUGAUCCACCACCUUCAUAGUGCACCAGUCUUGAUGCAUCUUUUUCUCGUAUCCAACCAGAUAGUGCUGCAUGGUUAGGUCCAUAGCUUGCCUCAUUCCCUAUGGACCAUACUAUAAUACAGGCAUGAUUUUUGUCCCUUUCAACCAUGCCGACCACACGAUCCAACAUGGAAGCAGCCCAACAAGAUUCCUGUGUAGGAUGCUUAUAAUUUGGAUAGUCAAAAAAACCAUGUGUCUCGAUAUUGGCCUCAUCUACCAUGUACAUGCCAAACAGAUCACACAACUCGUACCAGCGCUGAUGCUGAGGAUAGUGGCUGUUCCUGACAGCAUUAAUAUUGUUUUGUUUCAUCAAAACCAAAUCCUUAACCAUGCAGGACUCCAAGUUUGUCUUUCCAAGACGUGGAUGGUGCUCAUGCCUGUUCACCCCUCUAAUUACUACUGGACGCCCAUUUACUAGCAGCUCUUUAGGGGCUUUUGAUAUUUUUCUCAUACCAACUUGGCAUGAUUCACAAUCAACCAAGUUCCCUGAUGCAUCUUUAAGGGUGAUAACAAGAGUGUAGAGAUUUGGUUGCUCUGCAGACCAUAGUUUAGGUGCUUGCACCUUCCCCACAAGCAUGUAGCCUUUAAAUCCCACACAAGGAUCAGAAGACAGAACUAAUUCCAGAUGAGCAAUGUUAGUAGAAAGCAAAUCAACAUGGUCAGAGUGGCUAAGCCAAUUUCCACUGUCAUAGAGUGAAGCUUCAAUAGUGAAGUCAGCAAUAUCAUUAUUAUCAAGUGAAUUAUCAAUUCUCACUUCCACCUCUAUGUCUGCAUAUGAAAAAUCUUCGGCUAUGUUUGUUCUGAAGAAAUAGUCAGCAAUAAAUGUCUUAGGCUUCGCUAGAAGAAGCACAUCGCGGUGUAUCCCUGAUAACCACCAAUGAUCCUGAUCUUCAAGAUAGGAACCAUCACUCCAUCUCAUCACUUGAACAGCCAGACAAUUUCCUUCACCUGACCCACAGGGAUGGCAAAAAUCUGUGAUCUCAAAUUCGGCUGGGAGUCUGCUAUCCUGACUAUAUCCAACAGGAACUCCAUUCACCCAAGCAUAGAAGGCUGAAUCAACCGCUUCAAAAUGUAAAAAUAUCCUGCGACCUUCCCACUCUUCAGGAAGGAAAAAAUAAGUUCUGUAGCAGCCAGUAGGAUUAUCAUCCGGAACUUUAGGUGGAUUGAAAGCAAAUGGAUAUAUAGUGUUUGUGUAAAUAGGCCGGUCGUGUCCAUGCAUCUGCCAAUUCGAAGGGACUGGUAUUGUUUCCCAUGAAGAAUCUUGAAAUGAGCUAUCAUAAAAAUUCAAUGGAACGUUGGUAGGGCCAGGAGACAGCCAGAAUUUCCAUAUGCCAGAUAAUGAUUUAACGAAAGGUAAAUCCUUAACCCAAUAAGCAGCACAAUCAAGAGCUUUAGAAACAGCAUCAUCAUCCCAAACUGCUGAUUUUGAUACCAAUAGAUCCACUUUGUUGCGCUCAUUCCAGUAUCUCAGAGAUCCUUCAACUGAUUCAUGGCAGUGGAGUGGAACAUGAGAAUCUCUUUUCCUCCACUUGAAAAAAUAAGGAUCUUCCCAUGCCUUGUAACCAUUACUUGAUGGAAGAACCAUUUGACUGGUUAAAGAAGACAUCACUUUAUUUAGAGUUGCAACUCUAAAAUUGAGA
rnacentral:misc_RNA from 1 species